AAUGCACUUUCAUACGUAUGAGUUAUGAUGUGGGUUACUUUCGAGUAUUGCCUGUACGUACUUGUACAUUUGGAGGUGUUGUCGGCGUGCACUUCUCCUCUAGUAGAACAUCGCGACCCGUUGGGUGUCGAUUUAUGGCCCGAGUGGUAGUCUUUAAUGUUAUUAACAUUAAAGACCCUCGGUGUUCUAAUCGACUGCCUGACGGUACUCGUACGGUAUUUAGCCGCAUAUGUGCGUCUAUGUCCGUUGCAAGCGCGGUUAGUUUCUGGUAUACGGACCUAGUGCCGUCGCUGGAGCUCGCCAGCUGUUGGCUACGGAAUCUAAGACUGGCUAUAACACAUACCGGUCUGCGAUGCUCCUGCUUUGGGUACUUUCAGGACCCGUCUUGAAACACGGACCAAGGAGUCUAACAUGUACGCGAGUCAUUGGGAUUUUUAAAAUAAACCUAAAGGCGCAAUGAAAGUAAAAGUCAUCCUGUGGUGACUGAGGGAGGAU
rnacentral:rRNA from 1 species